CAGCAGCCGCGGGAAUACGGAGGGUGCAAGCGUUAAUCGGAAUUACUGGGCGUAAAGCGCACGCAGGCGGUUUGUUAAGUCAGAUGUCAAAUCCCCGAGCUUAACUUGGGAACUGCAUUUGAAACUGGCAAGCUAGAGUCUUGUAGAGGGGGGUAGAAUUCCAGGUGUAGCGGUGAAAUGCGUAGAGAUCUGGAGGAAUACCGGUGGCGAAGGCGGCCCCCUGGACAAAGACUGACGCUCAGGUGCGAAAGCGUGGGGAGCAAACAGGAUUAGAUACCCCGGUAGUCCCUGUCUCUUAUAC
rnacentral:rRNA from 1 species